rnacentral:rRNA from 1 species
AGCUUGUUGGUGAGGUAAUGGCUCACCAAGGCUAUGACGGGUAGGGGGCGUGAGAGCGCGAGCCCCAACAGAGGCACUGACACAUGGGCCUCACACCUACGGGUGGCAGCAGUCGAGAAUCUUCCACAAUGGGCGAAAGCCUGAUGGAGCGACGCCGCGUGCGGGAAGACGAUCUUAGGAUUGUAAACCGCUUUUCUAGGGGAUGAAGUUAUUGACAGUACCCUAGGAAUAAGAGGGGACUAAUCACGUGCCAGCAGUAGCGGUAAUACGUGACCCUCAAACGUUAUCCGGAUUUACUGGGCGUAAAGAGUCUUAAGACUGUUUAGCAAGUUUUUGGUUAAAGCUUCAGGCUCAACCUGAAGACCGCCAAGAAAACUGCUUUUCUAGAGGGCGUUAGAGGCAAGCGGAACGCACGGUGUAGGGGUGAAAUCCGUUGAUAUCGUGCGGAACACCAAAAGCGAAGGCAGCUUGCUGGGGCGACCCUGACGUUGAAUGACGAAAGCGUGGGUAGCGAACGAGAUUAGAUACCUCGGUAGUCCACGCUGUAAACUUUGGACACUAGCUAGUGGAAGUAUCGACCCUUUCACUGGCGAAGCUAACGCGUUAAGUGUCCCGCCUGGGAAGUACGCGCGCAAGCGUGAAACUCAAAGGAAUAGACGGGGAUUUACACAAGCGGUGGACCACGUGGCUUAAUUCGAUUUUAAGCGGAGAACCUUACCAGGGCUUGACAUGUUAGUGAAACCUCGGGGAAACCCGAGGCCUCUUCGGACACUAACACAGGUGUUGCAUGGUUGUCGACAGCAGGUGCUGUGAAGUGCUUCCUUAAAUGGAUAAACCUGCGCAACCCUUAUCCUAUGUUUUAUUUGUCAUGGGAGACUGCCGCGGACAACGUGGAGGAAGGUGGGGAUAACGCCAAAUCAGCAUGGCCCUUAUGCCCUGGGCAGCACACGUGGUACAAUGGUUGGUACAAUGGGUCGCAAACCGGUAACGGGGAGCUAAUCCCAUCAAAACCAGUCUCAGUUCGGAUUGAGGUCUGAAAUUCGACCUCAUGAAGUUGGAAUCGCUAGUAAUCGCAGAUCAGCUAUGCUGCGAUGAAUAUGUCACUGAAUCUUGUACUCACCGCCCAUCACGUCAGGAAAGUUGGGAACACCCGAAGUGCCUGGUAACAGGCCCUAAGGUGGAUUCAAUGAUCAGGACGAAGUUGUAACAAGGCAUCCGUAGCGGAAGCUGUGGAUG